rnacentral:rRNA from 1 species
CAGCAGCCGCGGUAAUACGUAGGUGGCGAGCGUUGUCCGGAAUUAUUGGGCGUAAAGGGAGCGCAGGCGGACAUAUAAGUCCAUCUUAAAAGUGCGGGGCUCAACCCCGUGAGGGGAUGGAAACUGUAUGCCUUGAGUGCAGGAAAGGAAAGCGGAAUACCCAGUGUAGCGGUGAAAUGCGUAGAUAUUGGGAGGAACACCAGUGGCGAAGGCGGCUUUCUGGACUGCAACUGACGCUGAGGCUCGAAAGCCAGGGGAGCGAACUGGAUUAGAUACCCGUGUAGUCCCUGUCUCUUAUACC